AGAAAGCUUGAGUUGAGCAACAGUUCCAGAAAAAAAAAUUGUGAAAUGGAGUAAAAAGCUGUCCAGAACACCACAAUUCUGCUCAGUUAAUUAAAAAAAAAAUAAACUUCAGAACUAAGUGCCAAGUCAAGACCACAUUUUUAGCAAAUCAACAUUCUCAGAUGCAGGAUGAUUUUAAACACGGCCCGUUUGAAAUCACUCCAGAACAAGAACCAUCACGAGGAAGUUAUUGGAUACCACCAUCACCCAGGCAGCAACUUAUGCCACAUGCAGGCAUCACGACGGAACAAAGAUUACAACGUCAGGAGCUGAUUUUUACCAUCCUGUCCAAGCCUCGUUGCAUUAAUCCAGAGCUGCGGGGCGUCCACUGUGAACCUCGAGGUGGGAAUGGGGCACCCCCCCCCUUUUCCCCCCGCAUCACGUCGAAUUUAAUCAGAAAUUAAUCUCCUGCCCCAAAAUGCCGGGUCUGAGCUCACCCCGAGGACGUGCAGGGUGUCUGGAGAGUGAAAGAGAAACGAGGAGGGAUUUAGUGCAGGCCUGAUGUAACCCGCAGCAGAGUGUUGCAUCAAAGCCUCGAAAGGAACCCGAGACAAAAACAAUCCUCUGAGAGCGGCCAAGGGAUGAGCGAAGCGUGGGGAGAUGUUGCUGAGCGCAGCAAGAGGAGUCCUGCCUCUCACACUGACACUGCUCUGCUGGCACUGCUGCCCUGGGCUUCAAAACCUUGUACCCAUGUGCUGCUCUUGAAGGGACGUUUAGAGAGAGGCUCCAAGUGUGCAAUUUUGAGUUUUGAGUUCAAGCAUCCUCCAGUUCUGGGCAUUUGGCUCGAGAGUUUGGUUAUGGCUCAUUGUAAGGACAGAAAAUUCACAUCAAGUUCUGAAUUUGGACGUAAAUUCUUAUCUCCAGGAUCACUGCUUCACUUGCACAUCAGUACCAGAGCCCUGGGCUUCAAAACCUUGCACCCAUGUGCUCUUCUUGAAGGCACAUUUAAGGGUAAGCACAACUGCACAGUUUUGGCUUUGAGUUCAGCUUCCCUCAGUUCUGGCCGUUUGGCUCCAGGAUUUGGAUGUGGUUUCUUUUAAAGACAGAAGCGUCACAUCAAAUUCUGAAUUUGGGCAUAAUUUCGUAUACCCAGGACUGCUGCUUCACUUGCACCUCAGAACCAGAGCCCUGGCCUUCAAAGCCUUGCACCUAUGUGCUCUUCUUGAAGUGUGGGGAGAUGUUGCUGAGCGCAGCAAGAGGAGUCCUGCCUCUCACACUGACACUGCUCCGUUGGCACCGCAGCCCUGGGCUUCAAAACCUUGCACGUAUGUCCUCUUCUUGAAGGGACAUUUAGGGGACUUAUCUGCAUUUAAUUACAUAUGGCAUCAUUGUCAGCAAAUCACAGUCAGGGACGUGGAUCUCACCAUGCAAGGCCUGUAUCAAACACCAAACAAAAUAGUUUCUGUCUAGUGCUACCAUCAUAGCUACCACAGUGCUUAUCUCUGUCCUGUCUUUCUUGUUCCUAAAUCUCCCCCUCCUUCCUACCCUGUUCCAUCAAGCCUCCUCUGCUUUCUCUCCACAACCUGCCUGCUGCUCACUUGCUCUCUUGGACAUGGCACACUUUCUCCCCACCAGCACAUUUAAUUGCAAUGUUUCAUUUCAUUAUUAGCUUGUCACCACCUCCAUCAAGCCACCUUUCCUGACAUAUCUAGCUGCAGAACUUUCCCGUAUAGCUUGUCACUAACUUUCACAUUAAGGCUUGUCUAAAUUCAUGUGCAAAAGGGUCUAUGAAAAAUAAUGACUAUAGUACUGUGUUUAUUUUUGAAUAAAGAGCAGCAUUAGUGAAUAGUGUUCCUGUACAGGCAGAGACAGAUAUACUGUGUGCCCAGCUGCUGCAGGCUCAUUGCACAGAAAUGUGUCUGUGUGUCAGUUGAACAAAGCUUUUCCCUUCAUGGGGACAUUAGGAGUCUCUAGCAGUGUUCUCUACACACAUAUGGAGGUCAAGCCCAAGAUGGUUAAGUCAACAGAAGUCUCCUGUUAAUAACAGUUAGUGUUGGAUCAGAUUCUUGUUGUGCAUAGUAAGUCAACCAAACAAGUUAACAACUGCCGGUGGGCAGGCAUCAUGCAUACUUGCUGUGGUAUUCUGCUGCUGCUCGAGUGCAGGGUGGAGCGCUGGCAACCAGAUAUAGCUUCCCCAGGAGAGCGGCCAGGGAGAUGUGCAGGUUUUCAAUGGAGUCACAACCACAGAACCAUUUUUUUCCAUAUUGCAACCCCACAUUUCUAGCUUGUGGCACUAAAGUAAUUUUCAAAGUAUGGUUUAGCUUAUUUUAAGUGCAUUUUACACGAGUAAACUCAAGCAAGGCAGAGGACAAGUGGCAGAUGGUCAGUGACAGAGCCAGGAAUGGAGUGGAGAACUUCCCUAUCCCAGUACAUGGUUUUAACAGACUUUGUCCCAGGAUUGUGAAGGUUGACUAUUUAUCAUUCAUGAAGCUUCAGCAGUGCUUAAAAACAAACAAACAAACAAGUAAACAAAGCAGCUAUUACUAAUCACAUCGCUUCCUGGCAGAGCCUGUCUUCCACAGGCAAAACUAUUUCAGUUUCUUAAGGAUGCAGUUUGGAGCUUGAUCUGUUCACUUAGCAGUUUUAUUCCUUUUGAACUCUCUUGGCUGUUCUAUGUGCACUGUUCAUUUACAUCUGCAAGGGGGAAGAAUGAGUCUCCAGGAGAACCCAAUGGAACAUCUUUCAGAGAGACAUGGCAUAUCUGUAACCUUGGUAAAAAUAACUAUAAAGGUAAUGAUAAUGGGUAAUUAAAAACCAUGUAGCUGGCAAAACAACACUCUGCAUUCCAGAGGAUGAAUUGCCUUACCCUGUCCAGUAGCCCACUUUACGGUACAGUAAUGGAUCUGCAUCCGGAAGAUUAAACAAUGAAAUGGAGCCUUUGGCAAGCUGGAAUCACAUUGGAAAAGGAGGAACUUUGUCAUGGUUUCUUUUUAAUGUAUGCAUAUUUGAAGAUCUGGAACUUAUCCCUUUUGGCAUAAAGACACCAUCCCUGCUUCGAAUUAUUAAGUUCUAGGACAGAUUAUGAAAUAAUAAAGUAUUUAAAUAUUAUGGUGCAGCAGUACAACAGAGCAGAUACCCUUCCUUUUACUGCUUCAAGUAUAGCAUUUCUGAAAAGCUUUUUGUACUCCUAGAGAACUACUGGUUAUAAAUUAUGAAAGAGGCAAUAGAAUAUCAUGCAAUAAUGCAAAAAAAAAAAAAAAGUUUCAGACCCUUCUCUAGAUAAAGAACUUACUGAAGCAGCUAAAAAUAAGGGGAAAUUAAGUGAACACCGGGUCUGAUCCAAAGGCCACUGACCCCAGGAGAUGCACUGCAGGUGGUUCAUUAGGUGUCAAGAGUCAUGUAUGUCAUGAAUUACAAUUCACAAAAUGCAAAUAAGGUUGUUGUAUGAGUAAGGAUAAAGCCUAAUUGAAGAAUCUAGGCAUUUCGCUUGGAUAAAAUGAGCAGAUUUUUCUCCAGCAGGUAGACUUUCUCAGCAAGGAUUUAUUGCCAAUAUUUAUGUGAGAGUUUGUAGUUCCAAAAGCACAGAAAUGCUGGGAAACAAAAAGGAAAGAAAAUGUAUCCAAAGAGGAAACCCAAAUGUUUCCAAGUCAUUUCUAUAAAUAAAAAUCUGAUGCAAGCUCAUUAGCAUUUCACUUUUCAGUGCUGAUUUGCUUCUCCAGGAUUUCAGAGUGUGCAUUGGUGAAUUUAGACUGUGCAUCAUAAAGUUUCCCUCAGCAAACGCUAGCACUAUUCACAACGCGUUGCAGCAGCUAUCAAAUAUUGAAUGGUAAGAGACCUGCUGGAUGGCCGCUGGCAUUAAUCAGCGAGAAAAUGGUUGCCAUUGCGCUUUGCUGUGUUGCUGUGGGCAGGGGUAUCAUGCAAGUGGUGCCAUACUUCUUCUCUUGUUAUUAGUAGGCAAAUAAAUAUGUACAGCUGAAGCAUAUUUCUGAAAUGGCUCUUCCUGUAGACACUGGAAGCUCCAAAAUAAAUAUUUGCAGCAGAUUUUGGAGAAUGAGAGAGUAGGAGAGUUGCUUGAGGAUGGUCCUAGUCCUAAUGCACGUACCAAAACCAACCUGUUGUCUGUUCCAGCGCUAACCUGUUUGAAGUAUUGCUUUCAUCAGUAAAGCAAGAAAACAAAAGCUUCUCUAUGUGGAGUAAUAUCAGGAAGGAAAUUAUGCAUGCAGAUUCACUGGCAAAAAUAGCAAUCUUGGGCUGUAAAUGUACGCACUGAUAGCGCUGUUUUGUUGCUAUUUUCAGCAGCCCCUGUACCCUCGGGGAUGAAACUUAACUGCUAUCACUACUGUUCAUGUUUCAGCAUUAAAGGUUUGAUUUGCACUCAGGCUCUUUGGCCCAUCUGGAGGUGAUUUCUGCAGAUAGCAGUCUUAUCUGUGGAUCAGUUCAGUUCAUCAUCCAGAGUCAUGCCAUGUGACACUGUGGUGUUGUGGGUGUCUUCUGUCAUAUCAGAUACAAAACUACUUUCGUUCACUAGAAAUCUCAGUUUCUUAGUUUUUGCACUUUUAUUUAUACUCCAGUCACGCUUAGGGCAGGUAAUUGCAUUCCACAUGUCUGAGCAUUCCCUACAGUUUUAUCUGGCUGAGAUGCUUAGUUCAGACUCUAAACUCUUGCACAGUCCUGCUGUUUAAAGUUUUUGUAUCUUCUUCUAGAGAGCACUUAUAUUGUGAUGGGUUAAGUGAAGUAUAUCUGUCACUUAACCACUUCUCAGGAGUACUGUCAGUCUUAAUUAAUGUUUGUAGAACACUACUGAAAUUCUCCAGAGAAGCAGUAAUAGAAGUGCAAAGGAUUAUAUUUUAUUUAAAACUAUCUAAUUUUUGAGUAAAUGGCUAACAACACUGAAGCUAAGAUUCUCCAAGUAAAACUGAUUUAUUUGACUCUUAGAAGAAAACAUUCUGAAAUCUGGGUUUCCAUUUAUUGCUACCACUGUAUGAUGCAUUUUGAUUUUUAUUGUCUUUUGAUAUACUUUGAUAUAUCCAGGCACACAACGUAGUCUGGUUUAGUUCAGGAAACGCUGUCCAACAUACGUUACUCAGGCUAAAAUAAAGAAAACCAGUAAAAUAACUAAAUCAAUUAACUCAAAGACAAUCCAUAUCACCAUUUGUCUUUCAUAUAUUAAGUAUUUGAACCAUAAAGCCUGUAAUUAGUAUUAUAGAAUAAUUUCCAUAUUUAUUUAUGAAGCAUUUAAUUAACAUAAACAGUCAUUAUCUGGAAAUAGAACCAGGUUAUUAAAGUUCAGAAAACUGAGAAGUCAGAUUGAGAUCUGUCAAGAAAUACCAAAGAGAUUGGCUCAACACCCUGUUUGAAACUGUUCAGAGAGAAAAUUCUCUGCUUCCGAACAAGCUGAAACAGGACACUGCUUUGGAAAUACAAGCAGUGUGUCAUCCACAUGAUAUCACCGAACAGAACAGUUAUUUUGUACGGUGAGAAAACAUUGGAUCACUCUUCUCACUAACUGAGGCUUUCCAAGAAAAGGCAUCUGACACAUCUGCACUGAAAAUCUGACCCAGAUUAUAGCUGAUGUUUUCAUAACACAGCUCAACUGCUUUUCUGCAACUCCACAGCAUUUCAAAAUGCUUUUCCAGAUACUUCUAUCUUUCAAAAUACUUUCAACACUUACAGUACUUUCAAUGCUUUCAAGAUGUUUCACCUACUCAGAUAUCACAUUAUGCAGAAAAGAAAAUAGAAGGAAAAAUGUGGCACUUCCAUGUUUCUGUUUGCAAGCUAGAUUCAUCACUCCUCAGCUAUUAGCUAGAGAGUCACAGGUAGCUAAAAAUAUGUCCUCGUUGACUAAAAGAAUGUAUUUGUGGCCUCGUUGUCAGUGCUUUUGCCAUUCAAGAUCCAGAGCAUUCAUUAUUGGAAUUUUAUCUAGGUAGCAACGAACCCACCAACUUUAAAAAAUCUACAGAACAUUUUCCAGACUAUAUUGUAGUUGCUGUGUUAAGUCAGAGCUGUGUCUACCUUUUUUUUUAGUGUAAGAUACUUCUUUGAAAUGUAAGUGCAAGCCCACCAGAGCAAGGUGCCACCACAAUCUACCUUGUUCGGACCAUUUUCUAACUAAUUCCUGGAGAACUGAGGUUGGCUCAAGUACUGAGUCAUAAGGAUUUAAUCUCAAUAUCAAUAUUUUUAUUAUGUGUUAUUUUAUCUUUGGUACUUUUAAAAUCUAUAUCACUGCCUAACUCCUCUCCUAAUUAUCUGAAAUUCUUUUCUUCUGUAACUGCUUUGGAAUGUUCCCUUAUACUAUUACAAAUACUGGCCUUAUUCUAUUAGGUCCUAGUUAUCUAUAGAUUUGGUUAGGUAAGAAUAUACUUAAUUAAAAUGCAAGCAACUGCUGGGAAAGGGAACAAAACAAAGUAGCAAUAUUAAAUCUCACCGGUGAGUCACAGUGAAUAUAGGUCAGGUCAAGCUUCUGCCCUUUUCUGAGCUCUCUGAGGAUUUGGUCCAGCUUACCCGAAGGAGCCCCUAACCUCAACAGACCUUCAUGCAGUCAGAACUCAAGCUUAGGUUUGUAUUCCUUCACCCUAAUAGAACUGCCAUUUCAGCAUGGAAGUUUAGAAGAGAUGAAAACUUUCUUAGCAACUGUUCCACAACCUGCAGCUGACAAAGGAGAUGAGAAUGAACACAAACCAAAGCAACUUGAGAGUAAAAUACAAAGCCUAUUUAUUUCUUUAACUCAAAAUACCCCUAAUCAUGCUAUGGGUCUACUCAAUCUCAUCCAUUAAGUCUCAAAAUCAAUGUGCUAAGAGCAGGAAAGGGAGAAGGAUAUACCUGAUCUGAUUCAUACCUGGGGGAAGCCCUCUGCUGCAGCAGUAAGGAGCUCAGAGAGAGAAUUCUGGAUUAAUUAAACUGCUUUUCACCUCCUUGAAAAAGUAUGACUGAAUGUUAAUGCAAUAGAAGUAAUUUAUGGAACCACAUUUGAAUUUGACUCAUAACAACAGUGCAAAACUAUCUUAAUAUGCGGCAAUUUUUAAAAAUCGCAGUCUGACUCUUAAUACCAAAAUGAAUACUUCAAGUAUAAAUAAUGACAUUGGAGGAAAUGUCCUUGGCAAGCAAAUUUGUUCCAUGCUGCUGAUGGUUCCUGUUAGCGACAUGGUUUUUUUUCAAGAAGGAAACAAUGGAAAACAGAUGUAAAAGCACUUGCCAGGAGGCCAGGGAAUGGCAGCUUUUCCAAAUGUCCAGUGUGGAGAGUGGAGCCAAUUUAAAAGAGAAUUAAUUAUUUAAACUGAAUUAAUUUGACUACAAUGAAGCCCUGAUAAGUAAUUUCAUCCAUCCUACUUCCUACUGCUACCCCUUGCAGUCUAACUCUAAAUACUGACCUCUAUUUGCAAAUACUUAACUGAAAAAUCCCUUACCCACCCAUAGUACCAACAUGUUGCUUUUUAAUAUCUUUACUGCAUCUCUUCCAGGAAUUUGCCCAAAGACUUGUGCUUACCUCCUCCACAUUCCCAACUCAGACUCAUUUAAUCCCUGUGUCCCUUUUCCCACUUUUCCUCUUCCAGCUUUGUGCUUCUUGUGGUGUUCUCCCAGGUGCUUCAGGCAAUUUCCAUCACUGCAUUCAUCAGAUCCAUCUUUUUCCUGCAGAUCUGUCCUUUGCAUGAAGACCCUCAUACCUUCAUUUUCAACACCUUUUCACUUUUGCUCAUGCAUUGCCUCGUCAUUGCUUGCCUUUGGGGAAAGGGAGGUGACUGAAUUUUAGGUCUACAGCUUUCAUAUGGUAGCUAAUUUUCUCAAAAGAAUCAGUCAUCGCCAAGUGCUCCAUUUACCUCAAGGACAUGGGCCCUGAUGUUGUAAUACAACAGAUUAUAAUCUGUAGAAGGACAAUGGUUACCUAAUGCUCUUUUUCCUUGAUAGCUGUUAGAUGAAAUGUGGCAAACAUCAGCAGAGCCACUGUUGCUCUGAAACCUUUUCCAUAGGAAUAUCCAUAGCCAUGUCUACCAGUAAUAGGACAGAGCCAUCACUUUUGGUUUCCAGUUUCAACAGAGGAACCAUUCUAAAAGUGUCCUUUUCUGUUACUGUUAAAAACUUAAAGCAAAAGCGUCAGUGCUAGGAUUUAUAUGAAGUAAGCUCCUUUAUUUCUUCUAUUUCAUAGAAGAAAAAGAAUUCCUGUCUAUUAAACAAUAAACUUCAUUGCUGUGAGUCUUGCCUGUACUGAGAUUGCAUAUCAAUUUAAAUACGUGAGGGUAAAAAUCAGCCUCAUUAAAGCAGCUCAAAGUCCUAAAAUUGAAUACUAUUUUAACGCUUUCAUAGAGUCAUUCAUAUUCAGUUAUCAUUUACAGGAGCACAUAACAAAUAUAGACAGGAAUUAAAACAGCUGAGGUGCAACAAGAAGUAUUUAGUGUAAAUGAUUUUUAAAAUGACAGUUAAGAACUCUCUUCCAUAGCAGGCUCAAGGCCUUGGAGCAUACAGUGGGUUGGGAUAUACCACUCCUUAUCCCCUGGUGUACUAGAGACAACAUCUGAAUUGUGAACAUGCUGAGGCUAAAGGUCUUCACUCUGUACAUUGUACAAAGGGAUGAGAAGUUGGUGAAGAAUUUCACCACACAAAUGUAACCCAGCAGAUGCUAAUUCACUUAUUUUUUUAACCUAAAGCCAGCAGGAACUCCUCUCUGACAACCGUCCCAAUUGAAAGGGUAGAUUGAACUGGAAAGGAUCCUAUGAAGUGUCAGUGAGCAGCAAUUCAUUAAUGAUAUAUAAUUUAAUCUUUAUAGAGCUGCAGUAAUGCAGUAUUUAUUAAAUAAUUUUGUAUGCUGUCAUUUUCCUGUCACGCAAGGGGAACAACUAAUGUACAUAUGGAAAAAUUUGAGGGCGUUCUUAGAAACCAUAAUAUUUUUCUUGAUCGUUCAUAACAAAAUACGUAAAGAACUAUUCGCCAUAUCACUCUUGCACAGCUUGUAUUAGAUCUCCAUAGUUACACUUCGCAUAACAAGUACAAAAAUGAAGUGUCUUUGCAGGGCUGAUAAGCAGACAGGAAGCAAGCGAACAUCUGCUACAGCUUUAGCUAGUUUUGCCUUCAGCGACUGCUGAAAAACUUCAGGCUCUGCAUUCCACGUACUGCUUGCUUGGCCUUUGACACUGGCAGCUGUUCAACAGGAGAUGUAAAAUGCUAUACCUACAGAAAAGGAGGUACAUUAUUUUCUAAGGGAGUAUUGGGAUACUAGCAUUUUUUAAUUUCUAUUUUCUGAUCACUAGAAACGCUGGCUAGCAGACACUGCAGAUGGAGUUACCUCCUGAAGGUCAACCACUUCCUACUUUACAGUUAUUUUUUUCUAAUGUUCUGUUAUCCUUUCCAAAAUGGCUCUGUUUUAAACACGAAAAACAAUUACACUAUACACUGAAUAGCAAUUAUAUUCAUCAUAAUCAUUGUAAGGAAACCAUGUGCUUCCCUGAAUCGGGGCUGGGGCUUCCAGCCCGGGCAGUCUGUCUUCUUGUAGCAUAACAGCACUUCUACAGCAUGGACAGCCAAAGAACUCUUAUACAAAACAAAUACCAAACAAUUCAGAGCAAACUGUUUCCUUGGUUCAAGAAAGAGCUACUGAACAUGUUUUGAAAAUGAGCUCAGCUGUAUAGUGCAGGUUCUCUGCUUGUGUACGUGGAAGCAAUCUCUGCUCCAGGUAGUUCAGCAGUUCUCUACAUCGUAUUUUUAUUUGCAUAGAGAAAUACUAAAAGAGAACAACUGACAGCAGCCUAUUUAUUGGAAUAUUGAGGCCCAUGUACUGUAAAUACAUCUUUAUGUACUUCCUUGGAGAUUGUAACUUUGCCUUGGAAAUUAGAACAGUUGUAAUGAAAACAGAUUUAUCCAUAUAUGGUAGAUCCUUUGGGUCUGACACAAGGAAAUGAAAAUGGGUUUCAGAGUAUCAACAAGAAAGAUGAAGACACUACUCCAGAAUUAUGUAAGGGUAACUGAGAAGAUAAUUUUGCCCAGAAUUUCCAUGUUCCGUGCUUUGUUGUUGUAUGCAGACUUAAUAGGUUCUAUUCUUAA